rnacentral:rRNA from 1 species
CGGGACUCAUCCGAGGCCCCGUAAUCGGAAUGAGUACACUUUAAAUCCUUUAACGAGGACCAAUUGGAGGGCAAGUCUGGUGCCAGCAGCCGCGGUAAUUCCAGCUCCAAUAGCGUAUAUUAAAGUUGUUGCGGUUAAAAAGCUCGUAGUUGAAUCUGUGUGUCACGGUGUCGGUUCACCGCUCGCGGUGCCUAACUGACAUUACGUGGUACGUCCUAUCGGUGGGCUAUACUCCUUGCGGAGCGGUCCAACUAAUAUCCCAUCGCGGUGCUCUUUACCGGGUGUCGAGGUGGGCCGAUACGUUUACUUUGAACAAAUUAGAGUGCUUAAAGCAGGCUACCUUCGCCUGAAUAUUCUGUGCAUGGAAUAAUGGAAUAGGACCUCGGUUCUAUUUUGUUGGUUUUCGGAACCCCGAGGUAAUGAUUAAUAGGGACAGAUGGGGGCAUUCGUAUUGCGACGUUAGAGGUGAAAUUCUUGGAUCGUCGCAAGACGGACAGAAGCGAAAGCAUUUGCCAAAAAUGUUUUCAUUAAUCAAGAACGAAAGUUAGAGGUUCGAAGGCGAUCAGAUACCGCCCUAGUUCUAACCAUAAACGAUGCCAGCUAGCGAUCCGCCGAAGUUCCUCCGAUGACUCGGCGGGCAGCUUCCGGGAAACCAAAGCUUUUGGGUUCCGGGGGAAGUAUGGUUGCAAAGCUGAAACUUAAAGGAAUUGACGGAAGGGCACCACCAGGA